UUUCUACUCCCUCCGUCCGAAAAUACAUGUCAUCAAAAUGGAUAAAAAUAAAUGUAUCUAAAACUAAAAUACGUCUAGAUACAUUUCCUUUUAUCCAUUUUGAUGACAAGUAUUUCCGGACGGAGGGAGUAUUUG
rfam:Triticum aestivum genome assembly, contig: Triticum_aestivum_CS42_TGACv1_scaffold_147905_2BS